UAGAGUUUGAUCCUGGCUCAGGAUGAACGCUGGCGGCGUGCCUAACACAUGCAAGUCGAGCGAAGCACUUCAUUAGAACUCUUCGGAGGGACGAGGAAGUGACUGAGCGGCGGACGGGUGAGUAACGCGUGGGCAACCUGCCUUACACAGGGGGAUAACAGUUAGAAAUGACUGCUAAUACCGCAUAAGACCACAUUGCCGCAUGGCAGGGUGGUAAAAACUCCGGUGGUGUAAGAUGGGCCCGCGUCUGAUUAGGUAGUUGGCAGGGUAGAGGCCUACCAAGCCUACGAUCAGUAGCCGGCCUGAGAGGGUGGACGGCCACAUUGGGACUGAGACACGGCCCAAACUCCUACGGGAGGCAGCAGUGGGGAAUAUUGCACAAUGGGGGAAACCCUGAUGCAGCGACGCCGCGUGAGUGAGGAAGUAUUUCGGUAUGUAAAGCUCUAUCAGCAGGGAAGAAAAUGACGGUACCUGACUAAGAAGCCCCGGCUAACUACGUGCCAGCAGCCGCGGUAAUACGUAGGGGGCAAGCGUUAUCCGGAUUUACUGGGUGUAAAGGGAGCGUAGACGGAGGAGCAAGUCUGAUGUGAAAAUCCGGGGCCCAACCCCGGAACUGCAUUGGAAACUGUUUAUCUAGAGUGUCGGAGAGGCAAGUGGAAUUCCUAGUGUAGCGGUGAAAUGCGUAGAUAUUAGGAGGAACACCAGUGGCGAAGGCGGCUUGCUGGACGAUGACUGACGUUGAGGCUCGAAAGCGUGGGGAGCAAACAGGAUUAGAUACCCUGGUAGUCCACGCCGUAAACGAUGACUACUAGGUGUCGGGAGGCAAAGCCUUUCGGUGCCGCAGCCAACGCAAUAAGUAGUCCACCUGGGGAGUACGUUCGCA
rnacentral:rRNA from 1 species